rnacentral:rRNA from 1 species
UACGUAGGUGGCAAGCGUUGUCCGGAUUUAUUGGGUUUAAAGGGUGCGUAGGCGGUUUCAUAAGUCAGUGGUGAAAUACGGCAGCUCAACUGUCGAGGUGCCAUUGAUACUGUGAGACUUGAGUACAGACGAGGUAGGCGGAAUUGACGGUGUAGCGGUGAAAUGCGCAGAUAUCAGGAGGAACACCGAUGGCGAAGGCAGGUCUCUGGGCAUUAACUGACGCUGAGGAGCGAAAGCAUGGGGAGCGAACAGG